UUCAACAUAGAGACAUCCAAUAAAAUUGGAACCGAUACAGAGAAAAUUAGCAUGGCCCCUGCGCAAAGAUGAUCGAGAAAUGGUCCAAAAAAACAUAUAU